CACAACCCUAAACCAUAUUCCCCCUUUCUUCAAGGCCUUGUUUCAGAACCCCACGCUUCCAAUCGAGACCUAGAGUCUGAUAUUCAAGAGCUUCAUGACAACGAAGAAGAUGAUGAUGAGAACCGGAAGUCGCAACUAUCUAAACCGGAAGAUCACAGCAAUGAGGAGUGGGAUAUUCGAACUUCUGUUGGUAUGGAUUGCACUCUUGAUAACGAGAACUCAUAUCACCAGAUCCGGUUUCAGUGACCCUCUUUUCGUUUUUGGGAGUAAAGAACAAGUAGAUCCGGUAUCCUAUAUGUUUGUAGAACUCAUAUCACCCCUGAUGAAGAUCUAGGAACUACAAAUCACCGCAGAACUUGAUUUUGUUUUCCUGUUGGAGCACCAUUACGUGGGAUUAACUACAAAUCAGCUUAAGACAUAUGAUAAGUCCAGUGGUGAGGGCCCAGAUGGAGCAACGAAACAAAUACAGAACCUGGAUAA